rnacentral:tRNA from 1 species
GGUUCCAUGGCUCAGUUGGUUAGCGCGGUAUGUUUCAUUCACAGAUCGCAUAGGAUCAACCAGUCACUAAUAUGGAACUCAGUCGUACUAAUAUUCAAUCGAAAUAUUGAGUAAUGCGAAGGUCGAGAGUUCGACCCUCUCUGGGACCA